rnacentral:rRNA from 1 species
GACGAACGCUGGCGGCGUGCUUAACACAUGCAAGUCGAACGGAAAGGCCCUGCUUUUGUGGGGUGCUCGAGUGGCGAACGGGUGAGUAACACGUGAGUAACCUGCCCUUGACUUUGGGAUAACUUCAGGAAACUGGGGCUAAUACCGGAUAGGAGCUCCUGCGGCAUGGUGGGGGUUGGAAAGUUUCGGCGGUUGGGGAUGGACUCGCGGCUUAUCAGCUUGUUGGUGGGGUAGUGGCUUACCAAGGCUUUGACGGGUAGCCGGCCUGAGAGGGUGACCGGCCACAUUGGGACUGAGAUACGGCCCAGACUCCUACGGGAGGCAGCAGUGGGGAAUAUUGCACAGUGGGCGGUAGACUGCUGCAGCAACGCCGCGUGCGGGAUGACGGCCUUCGGGUUGUAAACCGCUUUCGCCUGUGACGAAGCGUGAGUGACGGUAAUGGGUAAAGAAGCACCGGCUAACUACGUG